rnacentral:rRNA from 1 species
UCGGGAUAACAACCUGGAAACAGAUGCUAAUACCGGAUAACAACAGAUGAUGCCUAUCAACUGUUUAAAAGAUGGUUCUGCUAUCACUCUUGGAUGGACCUGCGGUGCAUUAGCUAGUUGGUAGGGUAACGGCCUACCAAGGCGAUGAUGCAUAGCCGAGUUGAGAGACUGAUCGGCCACAUUGGGACUGAGACACGGCCCAAACUCCUACGGGAGGCAGCAGAC